rnacentral:rRNA from 1 species
CAGCCGCCGCGGUAAUACGAAGGGGGCUAGCGUUGUUCGGAAUUACUGGGCGUAAAGCGCACGUAGGCGGAUAUUUAAGUCAGGGGUGAAAUCCCAGAGCUCAACUCUGGAACUGCCUUUGAUACUGGGUAUCUUGAGUAUGGAAGAGGUGAGUGGAAUUCCGAGUGCAGAGGUGAAAUUCGUAGAUAUUCGGAGGAACACCAGUGGCGAAGGCGGCUCUCUGGUCUGUAACUGACGCUGAGGAGCGAAAGCGUGGGGAGCGAACAGGAUUAGAUACCCCUGUAGUCCCUGUCUCUUAUAC